rnacentral:tRNA from 2 species
GCGAAAGUGGCGAAACUGGUAGACGCACUAGACUUAGGAUCUAGCGCCUUCGGGUGUGUGGGUUCGAAUCCCACCUUUCGCA